GGGCGAGGUCUCUGGUUCAAGUCCAGGAUGGCCCAACCCUGUGGCGGAUGUCAGCGGUUCGAGUCCGCUUAUCUCCA
rnacentral:tRNA from 17 species